UUAGCGGAGAGUCUGAUCCCGGCUCAGGAUAAACGCUGGCGGCGUGCUUUAUGCAUGCAAGUCGAACGGUCUUUCCCUUCGGGGAAGGAUAGUGGCAAACGGGUGAGUAACGCGUAAGUAACCUGUCCCGAAGUGGGGAAUAACCCCGGGAAACCGGAGCUAAUACCGCAUAUGGUCCUUUCGGUAAGGCGGAAGGACUAAAGCCUUAGGGCGCUUGGGGAGGGGCUUGCGUCCGAUUAGCUAGUUGGUAGGGUAACGGUCUACCAAGGCGAUGAUCGGUAGCUGGUCUGAGAGGAUGGUCAGCCACACUGGGACUGCGACACGGCCCAGACUCCUACGGGAGGCAGCAGCAAGGAAUUUUGCGCAAUGGACGAAAGU
rnacentral:rRNA from 1 species